UACGGGAGCAGCAGUGGGGGAUAUUGGACAAUGGGGGCAACCCUGAUCCAGCGACGCCGCGUGAGGGAAGAAGGUUUUCGGAUUGUAAACCUCUGUUGACAGGGAAGAAAAUGACGGUACCUGUUUAGAAAGCCACGGCUAACUACGUGCCAGCAGCCGCGGUAAU
rnacentral:rRNA from 1 species